rnacentral:tRNA from 1 species
CCGAUGGUGGUCGAGUGGCUUGGAACGUUUUUUUACCACGGAAGAUAGAGGUUCGAAUCCCCGCCAUCGGC